AUGUACCCACAGAAGGUGCAGGUUGGAGAUACCGAGGCUGAACCAACCCACACUUUUAGCUUGCUUUCUUAUGUUCUUGACGAGAAAGCAUUUUGGCACCGACGGCUGAGUCCACGAGAGCCAGAUUUAUUAACCUCCAGGGAGCUCAAUCUGUUUGAAGAAUGGAAGGUCUUUACCAAGGUUGAUGGUAGUGAAGGUCCAACCAGCAGCGACCCUAUCAGGACGACAGAGGACAUCACUAAUAGAAACAAAAGGACGACAUGCAUGUCCUUAAACGAGAUGGCUGACAACUGCGUUGCUUUGAAAAAAAGGGCAAGGAUGUUUCAGAACACAGAUGAGUUGUCGAGCAACAUUCAUCAUGAGAUGCCACACACUUUAGGAACUGUAAGCGCAUCAUCACACGAGAAAGAUCAGUCAUCAAGCGACGCUAAUCUUGGUCAGAUCCAACAAACACCGGUCCAUGGCACCUCUUCAGCUACCAACAAAGACUUCCCAUGGGACGACCCUGAUAUGGUAGCGCGGUUGAUCGAGUCUACCGAUAGGAUUGAGGAAGAGUGGUUUUCACAACAAAGACAAACUCAGUAUACCACAUCAGUUACACAAGACAUGCACAUAUCAGAGAUCAAGCCCAAUGAGAUUUGUUGCAGCUUCAGCUCAAAUCCAGUCGAAAGUGCUGUUUUCAACGACAUUGUGUCACGAAUACCACCCCAUUCAAGGCAAAAGAGCCAAGAAUAG
rnacentral:rRNA from 1 species